UACGAGUGGUGCAAGCGUUAUUCGGAUUUAUUGGGCGUAAAGGGUGCGUAGACGGUUUACUAAGUCACUUGUUAAAUUCUCUGGCUUAACUGGAGGCAAGCGGGUGAAACUGGCGAACUAGAGGGUGGAAGAGAGAAGUGGAAUUCUCGGAGUAGCGGUAAAAUGCGUAGAUCUCGAGAGGAACACCAAUGGCGAAGGCAGCUUCUUGGUCCAUACCUGACGUUCAAGCACGAAAGCGUGGGGAGCAAACAGG
rnacentral:rRNA from 1 species